rnacentral:rRNA from 1 species
UACGUAGGAGGCGAGCGUUGUCCGGAGUUACUGGGCGUAAAGGGUGCGCAGGCGGCGUCACGCGUGGGUAGUUGAAAUCUCCUGGCUUACCUGGGAGGGUGGUAUCCAGACGGUGGCGCUUGAGGGUCGGAGAGGGGCGUGGAAUUCCGGGUGGAGCGGUGAAAUGCGUAGAUAUCGGGAGGAACACCUGUGGCGAAAGCGGCGCACUGGACCACAACUGACGCUGAGGCGCGAAAGCGAGGGGAGCAAACAGG